UAGGGAAUCUUCGGCAAUGGACGAAAGUCUGACCGAGCAACGCCGCGUGAGUGAAGAAGGUUUUCGGAUCGUAAAACUCUGUUGUUAGAGAAGAACAAGGACGUUAGUAACUGAACGUCCCCUGACGGUAUCUAACCAGAAAGCCACGGCUAACUACGUGCCAGCAGCCGCGGUAAUACGUAGGUGGCAAGCGUUGUCCGGAUUUAUUGGGCGUAAAGCGAGCGCAGGCGGUUUCUUAAGUCUGAUGUGAAAGCCCCCGGCUCAACCGGGGAGGGUCAUUGGAAACUGGGAGACUUGAGUGCAGAAGAGGAGAGUGGAAUUCCAUGUGUAGCGGUGAAAUGCGUAGAUAUAUGGAGGAACACCAGUGGCGAAGGCGGCUCUCUGGUCUGUAACUGAGGCUGAGGCUCGAAAGCGUGGGGAGCAAACAGG
rnacentral:rRNA from 1 species